CUACGGGAGGCAGCAGUAGGGAAUAUUGCGCAAUGGACGAAAGUCUGACGCAGCAACGCCGCGUGGGUGAUGAAGGUCUUCGGAUUGUAAAACCCUGUCGGUGGGGAAGAACCGUGCAAGCGUAACUGCCUUGCACCUGACGGUACCCACAGAGGAAGUCCCGGCUAACUCCGUGCCAGCAGCCGCGGUAAUACGGAGGGGACAAGCGUUGUUCGGAUUUACUGGGCGUAAAGGGCGCGUAGGCGGGCCUUCAAGUCGGCUGUGAAAUCUCUGGGCUUAACCCAGAGUCUGCACUCGAUACUGUAGGUCUUGAGUACCGGAGAGGAUGAUAGAAUUCCAGGUGUAGCGGUGAAAUGCGUAGAUAUCUGGAAGAAUACCAGUAGCGAAGGCGGUCAUCUGGACGGAUACUGACGCUAAAGCGCGAAGGCUUGGGGAGCAAACAGGAUUAGAUACCCUGGU
rnacentral:rRNA from 1 species